rnacentral:rRNA from 1 species
UACGUAGGGUGCGAGCGUUGUCCGGAAUUAUUGGGCGUAAAGAGCUCGUAGGCGGCUUGUCGCGUCGUCCGUGAAAACCUGGGGCUCAACUCCAUGCUUGCGGUCGAUACGGGCAGGCUCGAGUUCGGUAGGGGAGACUGGAAUUCCUGGUGUAGCGGUGAAAUGCGCAGAUAUCAGGAGGAACACCGGUGGCGAAGGCGGGUCUCUGGGCCGAUACUGACGCUGAGGAGCGAAAGCGUGGGGAGCGAACAGG